GGACUACCCGGGUAUCUAAUCCUGUUUGCUCCCCACGCUUUCGCACCUCAGCGUCAGUAUCGGACCAGUGAGCCGCCUUCGCCACCGGUGUUCUUGUGAAUAUCUACGAAUUUCACCUCUACACUCACAAUUCCACUCACCUCUUCCGAACUCAAGACUUCCAGUAUCAAAGGCAAUUCCGAGGUUGAGCCUCGGGAUUUCACCCCUGACUUAAAAAUCCGCCUACGCGCGCUUUACGCCCAGUAAAUCCGAACAACGCUAGCCCCCUUCGUAUUACCGCGGCUGCUGGCAC
rnacentral:rRNA from 1 species